rnacentral:rRNA from 1 species
UACGUAGGGGGCGAGCGUUGUCCGGAGUUACUGGGCGGAAAGGGCAUGCAGGCGGUCCGACACGUUUUGUGUGACAGCGGGUGGCUUAACUACCCGAGGAUACGAAAGACGGUUGGACUUGAGGACUCGAGAGGGACACGGAAUUCCGGGUGGAGUGGUGAAAUGCGUAGAGAUCCGGAGGAACACCGAAGGCGAAGGCAGUGUCCUGGCGAGUGACUGACGCUGAGGUGCGAAAGCCAGGGGAGCGAACGGG